ACAGCUGGGCCUGAGACAGAUGUAAACCCUGACCCUGACCGGCACCCCAGGUUUCUCCCUCCCUGAUGACAGCUGGGCCUGAGACAGAUGUAAACCCUGACCCUGCCCUUCACCCCAGGUUUCUCCCUCCCUGAUGACAGCUGGGCCUGAGACAGAUGUAAACCCUGACCCUGCCCGGCACCCCAGGUUUCUCCCUCCCUGAUGACAGCUGGGCCUGAGACAGAUGUAAACCCUGACCCUUCCCUACACCCCAGGUUUCUCCCUCCCUGUUGACAGCUGGGCCUGAGACAGAUGUAAACCCUGACCCUGACCGGCACCCCAGGUUUCUCCCUCCCUGUUGACAGCUGGGCCUGAGACAGAUGUAAACCCUGACCCUGCCCUACACCCCAGGUUUCUCCC
ensembl:lncRNA